GCCUGAGUGGCUCAGCGGUUGAGCAUCUGCCUUUGGCUCAGGGCAUGAUCCCAGAAUGCGGGAUCGAAUCCCACAUCGGGCU
rnacentral:tRNA from 1 species